UACAGAGGUCCCGAGCGUUGUUCGGAUUCACUGGGCGUAAAGGGUGCGUAGGUGGCUUGACAAGUUUGAUGUGAAAUCUCCGGGCUUAACCCGGAAAAUGCAUUGAAUACUGUAGAGGCUUGAGGUUUGGAGGGGGGAUUGGAAUUCUCGGUGUAGCAGUGAAGUGCGUAGAUAUCGAGAGGAACACCAGUGGCGAAGGCGAGUCCCUGGACAACACCUGACACUGAGGCACGAAAGCCGGGGGAGCAAACAGG
rnacentral:rRNA from 1 species